AGUGUCGCGGCCGUGUUGUAAUUCACCACGCGUGCAGAGUGUAUACUCGUAUAGAAUUACGUCUCGAAUCUGCACGUUUCGCACCUUUUUUCUUUACGACGCAGCUUAUCGCAGCUGUUACGCAGUGAUGUAACCAAAUCGACCGGCUUGGAGUACUUACGUCCCUGAUGGUCAACCCCUCUCCUCGGAUCUAUUGGCCAAGUUCGACAAAAUAAACGGCUUUCAGCAACUCGUCAGUGAGUGGCGAACGGUGGAUCUGGUAGUUUGGUUUCGCUGCGUCGCAGCUGGUCGCAGUCGCGCGAAUGAUUCACGAUCAAUGAUCGCAGUAGGUGGUAUUGAUGACACUAAAGCGAACGUGACCUCCGAACAGGCCUACGAAUCCCCUCGCUUUGCUGAUUUUUGUGCUUCUUCUGCUAUCCUCGCGAAAGAGCAACGUGUUGAUUCAUUAUGCAGAAAAGUUACGACGUGAAAUCCAGCGGCGAUGUCACUGUCACAACAGUGCCACAUCAGCGUAUGCACGAGUCGGAAUCUAACAAGGCCACCGAGAACACUUCGCUGUCGCCGAAUAAUAAUCAAACUUACUUUGCCGACGUGAAGGUGCAAGUGCCGGAGACAACGACAGGGGGAUUUAGUUUUAGGAAAUUAUGGGCCUUCACAGGACCUGGCUUUUUAAUGUCCAUUGCUUACUUGGAUCCUGGCAACAUAGAAUCAGAUUUGCAAUCUGGAGUGGUAGCAAAAUACAAGUUAUUAUGGAUACUACUAAGCGCUACUGUCCUAGGUCUGGUUAUGCAAAGACUAAGCGCACGCCUCGGCGUAGUGACUGGUCUGCAUCUAGCAGAGAUGUGUUACAGACAAUACAAAAAAGUACCUAGACUCAUUUUAUGGAUAAUGAUUGAAAUAGCGAUUAUCGGUAGCGAUAUGCAAGAAGUAAUAGGAACGGCUAUUGCCCUUUAUCUCUUAUCUAAUAAAGCAAUUCCUAUAUGGGGCGGCGUACUAAUCACCGUAGUUGACACAUUUACAUUUUUAUUUUUGGACAAAUAUGGCCUGAGGAAGUUGGAACUCUUCUUCGGUCUUUUAAUCUCAAUUAUGGCUGUGACUUUCGGCUAUGAGUACGUCGUUUCCGAUCCUCCUCAAUUAGACGUUGUAAGAGGUAUGUUUGUCCCGUGGUAUGGCGGAAUGAAUUACGACAGCAAAGUGUUACUUCAAGCUGUAGGAAUUGUCGGUGCGGUCAUUAUGCCGCAUAAUUUGUAUCUUCACAGUGCUUUAGUCAAGUCGAGAGAUAUCGAUCGAAGACAACCGGCGAAAAUCAAGGACGCCAAUAUGUAUUACUUCAUCGAAGCCAGCAUUGCGUUAUUCGUCUCGUUUGUAAUCAACGUGUUCGUCGUUGCUGUAUUCGCUCAUGGUCUCUUUCAGAAAACUAACAACGAUGUUUAUAACAUUUGCGAGGCGAGUAAUUACACCCUUGGUAUGGAAACUUUCGAGAGGAACAAUGUCACAUUAGAGGCCGAUCUCUAUAAAAGUGGGGUCUUCCUCGGCUGCUCUUUCGGCGCGGCUGCAAUGUACAUAUGGGCUGUCGGCAUCUUAGCCGCUGGUCAGUCCUCGACAAUGACCGGCACCUACGCUGGCCAAUUCGCGAUGGAAGGCUUUCUGAAUCUACAAUGGGCCCGUUGGAAGCGAGUCCUAUUCACCCGGACGAUCGCCAUAGUGCCCACAUUCCUCGUGGCGUUCUUCGCUAACAUGAGCAACCUAAGCAACAUGAACGAUAUCUUGAACGCUAUAAUGAGCUUGCAAUUACCGUUCGCCACUUUGCCCACGAUCGCGUUUACGAGCAGUGUUCAGAUUAUGGGUGAAUUCCGGAACGGAAUAGUCAACAAGAUUGUGUCGACUGCGCUGUCGGUCCUAGUGAUAAUGAUAAACAUUUUUUUCGUGGUGCAAACCGUUCAAGAGGACUUGCCACACACUUGGCCCGUGUACCUCGGUAUGUCCAUAUACGCGAUUUUAUAUCUAAUUUUCUGCACCUAUUUGGCUAUUCACAUGGCUGUGAGCAUGGGUGCAACGUCCCUCGGUAACCACUGGUUUGUCACUAAGUACAUCGGUGCGCCCGUAAGCACAACGCUCGGUAUAUCGAAUCCUGCAGUUUACGCUAGAUACGAGACCUUUGGUGCGAACGAAGCGUGAUUUUAUAAAAGAAAGCUACUCUCGGUGCUCACGCGCGUGUAUGUCGUACAUGUCAUGCGAUUUGGCGUGCACUCGACAUGCGAGUCAUGCGAUGGUAUAUAUAAAGAUUUCCUUUCAGGAAAUGCAAUAAUUACCUCGCACACACAUAACAAACCCAGCAUUUACCAUACAGGAAAGUUUGGGUGGCAGUUUCACAUCUAUACCAGAAUACUAAUUUGUUAGUAAUCAACAUAUUGGUAACGGAUGCAUAAGCGAUAGCGUGCGUACGUGAUAAUCAACAUCAUUUCUGUUCAACUACAUUCAGUUAUACAGGACGUAAUUGAGGGAGGAGGUAACUGAUAACACUUUACGAUACCAGUGUAACAUUCCGUCAUUAAACGCACGCGUUAUUUCGUUGGGCAAAAAUACACAGCAGGAUGGUAAUUUAGGCACUUAUUUUAUACAUUUUACAAUAAAUUUGAGUUGAAGUAUAUUUAUACGCAUCACAUCAUAUACAAUAUUGUUACCGAUGUGUUUAGAUACAUAUUUAUGUUUGUUGCGAAUUAUAUUUAGUUCUCUAUAUAUGUGUAUAUUUUAGAUUCAUAUAAUUUUUACACGUAAUUAUUUAAAAAAACAAAUACACGUGAAAAUUAUAUUAAAGUUGUAAAUAUCAUAUCAAGGCGAGUGUUUACAUUGUGGUGUAUAAAAUAAAUACAAUAUCUGUUUGCCAAUUGCUUCAACAACAAAUGCAUUGCGACGAAGCAUUUCAUCACUUAUUACGUAACAUACUAUUUAUAAAGUUUUAGAUAUCACAAAAAUACUUUUAGUGAGAUUAUACUUUGCUCCUUAAUACUUACAAUUAUAUCAAAUGUAAUUUGACAGGGGCGUUUAGUUAUAAAAUAGUGACGAAUUUCAAAAUAGGAACAUACACAAGUGUACAAGUGCGUUUACAAGUCCAAUCAUUAUUAAAGCCAUUAAAAAGUAUAAUCUUACAAAUUUA
rnacentral:misc_RNA from 1 species